AGCUUGCUGGGUGGAUUACUGGCGAAUAGGUGAGUAACACGUGAGUAACCUGCCCUUAACUCUGGGAUAAGCCUGGGAAACUAGGUCUAAUACCGGAUAGGAGCGUCCACCGCAUGGUGGGUGUUGGAAAGAUUUAUCGGUUUUGGAUGGACUCGCGGCCUAUCAGCUUGUUGGUGAGGUAAUGGCUCACCAAGGCGACGACGGGUAGCCGGCCUGAGAGGGUGACCGGCCACACUGGGACUGAGACACGGCCCAGACUCCUACGGGAGGCAGCAGUGGGGAAUAUUGCACAAUGGGCGCAAGCCUGAUGCAGCGACGCCGCGUGAGGGAUGACGGCCUUCGGGUUGUAAACCUCUUUCAGUAGGGAAGAAGCGAAAGUGACGGUACCUGCAGAAGAAGCACCGGCUAACUACGUGCCAGCAGCCGCGGUAAUACGUAGGGUGCGAGCGUUAUCCGGAAUUAUUGGGCGUAAAGAGCUCGUAGGCGGUUUGUCGCGUCUGUCGUGAAAGUCCGGGGCUUAACCCCGGAUCUGCGGUGGGUACGGGCAGACUAGAGUGCAGUAGGGGAGACUGGAAUUCCUGGUGUAGCGGUGGAAUGCGCAGAUAUCAGGAGGAACACCGAUGGCGAAGGCAGGUCUCUGGGCUGUAACUGACGCUGAGGAGCGAAAGCAUGGGGAGCGAACAGGAUUAGAUACCCUGGUAGUCCAUGCCGUAAACGUUGGGCACUAGGUGUGGGGACCAUUCCACGGUUUCCGCGCCGCAGCUAACGCAUUAAGUGCCCCGCCUGGGGAGUACGGCCGCAAGGCUAAAACUC
rnacentral:rRNA from 1 species